rnacentral:rRNA from 1 species
AUUGAACGCUGGCGGCACGCCUUACACAUGCAAGUCGAACGGUAACAGGUCUUCGGAUGCUGACGAGUGGCGAACGGGUGAGUAAUACAUCGGAACGUGCCUAGUAGUGGGGGAUAACUACUCGAAAGAGUGGCUAAUACCGCAUGAGAUCUACGGAUGAAAGCAGGGGAUCGCAAGACCUUGUGCUACUAGAGCGGCCGAUGGCAGAUUAGGUAGUUGGUGGGAUAAAAGCUUACCAAGCCGACGAUCUGUAGCUGGCCUGAGAGGACGAUCAGCCACACUGGGACUGAGACACGGCCCAGACUCCUACGGGAGGCAGCAGUGGGGAAUUUUGGACAAUGGGCGAAAGCCUGAUCCAGCAAUGCCGCGUGCAGGAUGAAGGCCUUCGGGUUGUAAACUGCUUUUGUACGGAACGAAAAGCCCUGGGUUAAUACCCUGGGGUCAUGACGGUACCGUAAGAAUAAGCACCGGCUAACUACGUGCCAGCAGCCGCGGUAA